CAUGUGUGUCUGUGUGCAUGUGUGUAUAAAGAAGUGGUGAUCAGACGUUGCUGAUAAGAGAAGCCAGUGGUGCUUCUGGGUGAUGUGUGUAUUCAACUCCAGGCUGACUCCUCUUAUGCUAAUACAGCCAAUUUCCUCUUUUAUUUCAUUUCUGGAGCCUGAAUCUGUGAUCUCUGAUAAGGUUCCCAAGGAUACCGCCUUCACUCACAAAUGGUCCCCAUGCCUCCUCUUAUGGAACAUUUAUCUUGGAACUGCGAGAGCUGCUGAAAGCUGUCAUUACCUCCUGGAGCUUAUGAAGGUUAAAAUGUCAGCACUCAUAUAGGCUUUUACAGUGUUGGAAAAAAAAUGAAAAGGAAAAGGAAAAAAAAGAAAAAAAAGAAAAAGAAGAAGAAAAAUAGAAACAAAAAAAAAGGAUAAAAGAAAAAGGAGAAAGAAAAAGGAAAAAGUAAGAGGAAAAGAAAGAGGAAAAGAAAGAGAAAGAGAAGAAGAAGAAGAGGAAGAAAAAGAAGAAGAAAAAGAAGAGAAAGAAGAGAAAGAAAAAGAAAAAGAAAAAGAAAAAGAAAAAGAAAAAGAAAAAGAAAAAGAAAAAGAAAGAAGGAAAAGGAAUAAGAAAAGGAAAAGGAAAAAAAAAGAAAAAGAAAAAGAAAAAAAAAGAAAAAGGAAAAGAAGAAAAAGAAAAAAUUCUGUGAUUUCCUCCAUGAAUAGUUACAUGCUGUUACAAUGAUCAUCUCACAUACACUUUUUCUCAGUUUCCAAUUUCCUGAUUAUUAUCACAAUUAAAUAUAUAUGUGUGUGUGUGUGUGUAGAAGAAAAUAAUAGGAGUUCUGGGUCAUCGUCUGUACAAUGUAAAUAUUUGUCUAUUGUUUGUCAACAAAAUUGGAGAAAACACUUCUUAUAGGAACCUUCUUUCUUUCAUUAAAAAAUUUUUAAUCAAGUCACAAACUAUACACUUUUGAAAUGACAGGAAUGAUAAGCCUGUAAUAAAAAAUAUGUUCUGGGAGUAAAUCAGUGGACCAUUUGAACAAGAACCCUUUCCCAUCAGGCUCAAGACAAG
ensembl:lncRNA